rnacentral:rRNA from 1 species
ACUCCUACGGGAGGCAGCAGUGGGGAAUAUUGCACAAUGGGCGCAAGCCUGAUGCAGCCAUGCCGCGUGUGUGAAGAAGGCCUCGGUUGUAAAUGCACUUUCAGUUGUGAGGAAAGGUUAGUCGCUAAUAUCGGCUAGCUGUGACGUUAGCAACAGAAGAAGCACCGGCUAACUCCGUGCCAGCAGCCGCGGUAAUACGGAGGGUGCGAGCGUUAAUCGGAAUUACUGGGCGUAAAGCGCGUGUAGGUGGCUUGUUAAGCCAGAUGUGAAAGGCCCC